rnacentral:rRNA from 1 species
CGCACGGGUGAGUAACACGUAUGGAACCUGCCCUAUGCAGGGGGAUAAGCGGAAGAAAUUCCGUCUAAUACCGCAUAACACCAUUCGGAGACAUCUCCAGGUGGUCAAAGGAGGCGACUCCGGCAUAGGAUGGCCAUGCGUCGCAUUAGCUAGUCGGCGGGGUAACGGCCCACCGAGGCGACGAUGCGUAGGGGUUCUGAGAGGAAGGUCCCCCACACUGGUACUGAGACACGGACCAGACUCCUACGGGAGGCAGCAG